rnacentral:rRNA from 1 species
GACGAACGCUGGCAGCAUGCCUAAUACAUGCAAGCCGAGCGAACAGGUGAAGUGCUUGCACUCCUGACGUUAGCGGCGAACGGGUGAGUAACACGUAAGGAAUCUACCUAUAAGCGGGGGAUAACAUUCGGAAACGGGUGCUAAUACCGCAUAAUAUCUUCUUCCGCAUGGAAGAAGAUUGAAAGACGGCUCGGCUGUCACUUAUUGAUGACCUUGCGGUGCAUUAGUUAGUUGGUGGGGUAACGGCCUACCAAGACGAUGAUGCAUAGCCGACCUGAGAAGGUGAUCGGCCACAUUGGGACUGAGACACGGCCCAAACUCCUACGGGAGGCAGCAGUAGGGAAUCUUCCGCAAUGGGCGAAAGCCUGACGGAGCAAUACCGCGUGAGUGAAGAAGGCCUUCGGGUCGUAAAACUCUGUUAUAAGAGAAGAACAAAUUGUAGAGUAACUGCUACAGUCUUGACGGUAUCUUAUCAGAAAGCCACGGCUAACUACGUGCCAGCAGCCGCCGUAA